CAUUUAAUUGUUUUAUUCCAACAUUUUAUUGUAGGAAAUAAUUUUGAAAUUUAUCCCGAUAUUUAUGUUGGGAUGAUUUUUUUUGGGUUUGAGAAAACACUAAUCCAAGUAAGUGUACGUGAUGGACCUAGAAGCUUCGAAAAGUAUUCUUACUUUUUGGCUGUUUUUCUUUUGUGAUCAGAGGUAGGUUUCGUGAGAGAUUAUGAGAUUCAUUAUAAUGCAAACCUCAAUUUGGAUAUCUGUAAACGACAUUUCAUAAUUUAAAGUAAUUUUACGAAAUUUAAGAUAAAAAAUUAUUUAUGUAAUAAAAAUAAAUAGAGUAAGCAAAAAUAUAAAAUUGAUUCGAUGUAGUUAUAAUGUAUUUACUAAAUAUCUCAAAACCCAUUCUAAUAAUUUUUUUCCCAUGAAACAUACAAAAAUAAUCUCAAUCUUGAUUUGAAUUCUCUAAGCAGAUGUAUCGAACAUUUUUGGUUUAUAUGUUAUUUAGACCAGAUGCCUCUUCCAAAGUUUAACUAAGCAUUUUGUGAUGUUGAGGACUUAAAAAUAAAGAUGAAACAUCAACAUCUAGUUUAUAUUAACUGAAGCUGAAUAUUAUAAAGUACAAAAUCAAUGAUUGAGUACAUUAUGCACUGAAGGUCUAUCUAAACUGAUCAAUCAGAACAUACGAAACCAGAAUAUUCAUGGUUUCAAAGCAUCACGAAGUGGUUCUGCUAUAUCACAUUUAUUUUUUGCAGAUGACUCUUUAGUCUUCUGUAAAGCAACUGAAGAAGAGAGUCGUAAUUUAUCUCGUAUCCUUCGAGUGUACCACAAAGCAUCAGGGCAAGAAAUUAAUUACGCCAAAUCAGCCAUUGCUUUCAGCAAAGGUACAUCCUUCUCAACACAAUCAAACAUUUCCAAUAUAUUUGGCAUUACAAAAGUGGAUGGAUUUGGUCGCUAUCUGGGUCUACCUGAACAUAUAGGGAGAAGAAGAAAAGAAGUUUUCAAGUUCAUAGUAGAGAGAGUAAAAGCCAAGCUGGAAAGCUGGUACUCUAAGUUUCUUUCACCUGCUGGUAAAGAGGUUCUUUUAAAAUCGGUUAUCACAGCUUUACCAACAUAUACGAUGUCAUGUUUCCUGCUACCAAAGACGUUGGUUCAUAAAAUAACAAAAGCGAUGCGAAAGUUUUGGUGGUCUGCUUUUCAGGAUAAACACUCCAUACCGUGGAUAGCUUGGAACAAAAUAACAGCUUCAAAGAAAGAAGGAUGGCUUGGAAUUAGAGACAUGAUGGCUUUUAACAAAGCUUUACUAGCCAAGCAAGCGUGGAGGUUAAUUACUUGCCCUUCAUCUCUCUUAGCUAGAGUUUAUAAAGCUAAAUACUAUAGAAGAACAUGCUCUAUGGAGGCUUCCAGCUAUCAGACCUCAAGUCUAGCUUGGAGGAGCAUUAUCCAGGCACGACCGAUCAUCCAAAAAGGGAUGCAUUGGGCAGUAGGAGAUGGGGCUCAAAUAAGAAUAUGACAUGAUAACUGGUUAUUGGGUGGUUCGCAAAAUACUCCAACAGGUCCUGGAAGGUUCGUUCACCCGAACCUCAGGGUCAAAGACCUCUUUAUUACAGGAACUUCCUCAUGGAAUCUGCCUCUCCUCCAGCAGUUAUUUCAGAACGAGGAUGUUCAAAGAAUCAUGCGUCUCCGUCCAAGUGUGACAGGGAACCAAGAUUUGCUGUAUUGGAAGUUAAGCAAAACAGGAUCAUACACGGUGAAGUCAGGCUAUCACGUUCAACGGCAAUUAGAUGCGGAAGUAACACAACUAACUCAGGUUCCACACUCCUCUUCUUCUCAAUUAAGAAAUACAAUCAUGCAUAAGUUAUGGAUGCUAAAUAUUCCACCGAAACUCAAGAUAUUUUGGUGGAAAAUAUUCCAUAAUGGGUUGCCGGUUGCUGCCAAUUUAGUGAGAAGAGGAUGUCAAGUUAAUCCCGAAUGACAGCUCUGUGGUGAGGGCGUAGAAACUAUAUCACAUUUACUAUAUGAAUGCAGAGUGUCGAAGGAGAUCUGGAAUCUGGCGUGUCCUGACAUUCAUCAGAAAUUAAGUGGCGACUUGAAUCUCUUGCAGUUUACUCAAAACCUAGUUAUGGGUCUUGCAAGAGAUACGCAAAGUAUAUUAGCAUUGUUUUUAGGAUGGACGAUAUGAAAAAUGCGGAAUCGAUUACUCUUUGAAAAUAACAGAGAUCACAUAGUGCAGGUAAUUAAGGUGGCUAUAAUGGACAUGCACCUAUGGAGAGAAGCCCUGAUCCACAAUUAAGGGUGUCAAUUGGUUGGGCCACCCAUGGGUUCACCCAUUCAAAACAAGCAUGGGUGGGUGAUGGUCAUACCCAAAUAAGUUAUGGUCUAACUGGGCUAAAAACCCACUUUGCCCAUGGGCUAACUGGUCCAAACCAAAUGGGUGUUGGGCUGGUCCAAAACACUUAAUUUCUAGGUUUAGGCAAUUUGGGAAAAAUUGAAAAUUCACGUUCUCUUCUUCUCUUCUCCCAUUAGACGAUUCUCUUCUUCUCUUCCACUAUUUCUCUUCUCCAUUCCCAGAUUUUCGUAGCCGCGAGUCCUCCCUUACGUCUUCCUUAUGAAUCAGUAACCAUUGCUCUGUUGUGACUUGAGUUGUACCAUUGUGAUCAAAAUAGAAAAAAACUAAGCAUUUUGUGGGCUAAUGAAUCUCGUUUCUUGUUUUGUUUUGGAUUCAGAAACCAGCAUUUUCAUUCACUUGCUGCCUCAGCUUGGUCUUCAGGCUGCAAAUAAGAGGAGACAAAGUCACAAAGCUGGAACAAAGUGAAUUCAUAAACAGUGUUGUUAAAAACUUAAGUCAUUUGAGAUUGUUUCAGAUUUUCAAAAUUUUAAUGUUUUUUAAAGUUUCAAAAUUUUACUACUCAAUUUUGGAUAUUUCUAUCAUAUUUCAAUGUUGUUUAAUAUUUAAAAUGAGCUUAAAUUGAAUUUAAACAGAUUUGGGCA